UAUAGGUCUGGUCCUAGCCUUCUUAUUAGUUAUCAGUAGGAUUACACAUGCAAGUAACCGCAUCCCAGUGAGAAUGCCCUCCAGAUCCUUACGAUCAAAAGGAGCAGGCAUCAAGCACGCCAGAUGGCUGCUCACUACGCCUUGCUAAACCACACCCCCACGGGACACAGCAGUGACAAAACUUAAGCAAUUAACGAAAGUUAGACUAAGCCAUACUGAUACUCAGGGUUGGUAAAUUUCGUGCCAGCCACCGCGGUCAUACGAUUAACCCAAACUAAUUUAACACGGCGUAAAGUGUGUUUAAGAGUACCCUUAAAUAAAGUUAAAUUUUAUCUGAGCUGUAAAAUGCUCCAGCUAAAAAUAAAACAAACUACGAAAGUGACUUUAACACCCUGAAAACACGACAGCCAAGACCCAAACUGGGAUUAGAUACCCCACUAUGCUUAGCCAUAAACUUAAGUAGUUAACAAACAAUACUACUCGCCAGAGUACUACAAGCAACAGCUCAAAACUCAAAGGACUUGGCGGUGCUUUAUAUCCCCCUAGAGGAGCCUGUUCUAUAAUCGAUAAACCCCGAUAAACCCUACCACUUCUUGCUAAUUCAAUCUAUAUACCGCCAUCCCCAGCAAACCCUAUCAAGGCCCUAAAGUAAGCGCAAGCAUAUUACAUAAAAACGUUAGGUCAAGGUGUAGUCUAUGAAGUGGAGAGAAAUGGGCUACAUUUUCUAAUAACAGAACAGCACAUACUACAACAACCUUUAUGAAACUAAAGGCCGAAGGAGGAUUUAGUAGUAAAUUAAGAAUAGAGAGCUUAAUUGAAUAGGGCCAUGAAGCACGCACACACCGCCCGUCACCCUCCUCUAAACUUCUAUUACCAAUUCCUUAAUUACCACUCAAAAUACAAGAGGAGAUAAGUCGUAACAAGGUAAGCAUACUGGAAAGUGUGCUUGGAAUACU
ensembl:Mt_rRNA